UGGCUGCUGUGGCUGGAGCUAAGGAGAUCUGAAUUCAGGAACCAGGAGCUUCUUCCUGCUCUCAAGGCUUUGGGCCAUCUUCUACUGCUUUCCUAGGCCACAGGCAGGGAAUUGGAAGGGACGUGGAGUAGCCAGGACAUCAACCACUGCCAAAUGGAAUGCUGGUGCAAGCAAGAUGAGCAAACUAAGGUUGAAGCAGGCUGAAAAACUGGGUUUAGAAUUCUACAAGUCUAGUUCCAAGAUCGCAUCCACGCUGUGCAACUUUUGGUAUCAGUUGACAGAAGAAUUCAAACAAAAAUGGUUCCAAAAUUCCAUGGGAAAGGAGAGUUGCAGCAAUUGGAAGAGAUAGCGCUGUAUUUCUGAGUGAAUUUCCAGAA